rnacentral:rRNA from 1 species
AGUGAACGCUGGCGGUAGGCCUAACACAUGCAAGUCGAACGGCAGCACAGUAAGAUCUUGCUCUUACGGGUGGCGAGUGGCGGACGGGUGAGGAAUACAUCGGAAUCUUCUUUUUCGGGGGGGAUAACGUAGGGCCACUUACGCUAAUACCGCAUAUGUCGUACGGGUGAAAGCAGGGGAUCUUCGGACCUUGCGCGAUUGUAUGAGCCGGCGUCGGAUUAGCUAGUUGGCGGGGUAAAGGCCCACCAAGGCAACGAUCCGUAGCUGGUCUGAGAGGAUGAUCAGCCACACUGGAACUGAGACACGGUCCAGACUCCUACGGGAGGCAGCAGUGGGGAAUAUUGGACAAUGGGCGCAAGCCUGAUCCAGCCAUACCGCGUGGGUGAAGAAGGCCUUCGGGUUGUAAAGCCCUUUUGUUGGGAAAGAAAAGCAGCAGGUUAAUACCCCGCUGUUCUGACGGUACCCAAAGAAUAAGCACCGGCUAACUUCGUG